rnacentral:rRNA from 1 species
GAUGAACGCUGGCGGCGUGCUUAACACAUGCAAGUCGAACGAGAAGUGGAGACGGACACCUUCGGGCGGAAGACUUUACUUCGAGUGGCGGACGGGUGAGUAACGCGUGGGUAACCUGCCUCAUACAGGGGGAUAACAGUUGGAAACGACUGUUAAUACCGCAUAAGACCACAGCACCGCAUGGUGCGGGGGUAAAAACUCCGGUGGUAUGAGAUGGACCCGCGUUCGAUUAGCCAGUUGGCGGGGUAACGGCCCACCAAAGCGACGAUCGAUAGCCGAUCUGAGAGGAUGACCGGCCACAGUGGGACUGAGACACGGCCCAAACUCCUACGGGAGGCAGCAGUGGGGAAUAUUGCACAAUGGGGGAAACCCUGAUGCAGCGACGCCGCGUGAGUGAAGAAGUAUUUCGGUAUGUAAAGCUCUAUCAGCAGGGAAGAAAAUGACAGUACCUGAGUAAGAAGCCCCGGCUAACUACGUG